rnacentral:tRNA from 5 species
GCACCGGUAGCUCAGUUGGAUAGAGUAGCUGGCUACGAACCAGUUGGUCGGGGGUUCGAAUCCUCUCCGGUGUACCA